rnacentral:lncRNA from 1 species
GUUGCUGUAAAACCUAACUUCUUCCUCUCAACAGGGCAAAAAUAAAGUUAUCCAGCAAACAACUAUUUAGGUCAUUUGAAUGCUAAAACAGACCGUAAGCCUCUCUCUCUCUGUCUCUCUCUCUCUCUCUCUGUCUCUCUCUCUCUCUCUCUCUCAGAUCUGGAUAUAAGAUAUAUUUAUACUUUUAUUUAUUUUCCUUUUUUUUUUUGUAGUGCUAGGGAUCAAACCUAGGGCCUUGUGCAUGUUAACAAGUGCUCUACCACUGAGCUAUAUCUUGGAGCAGUCCUUCCGCCUGACGGAGGAGGACAGCAGGCUUCUGGUGUUCUUCCGGACAGAGGCCAUCCUCAAAGCUGCCUGGCCUGGGAGGCAGGUGGACGUCGCUGAUGUCGCGAGCGAGGAGCAGCGCUGCGCCCUGUUCUCAGAGCUCUUGGACAGCAGCCACCGAGAGGCCGAGUUCCAGCACCUGGCCCUGCUCCUGCACGCCUGGCCCCCCAUGAGGAGUGAGCACGCAGCCGGCGCGACCCGGAACCCCUGGCUGAGACUGGCGGCCGCCAUGCUGCGCAGGUGGCCGGCGCAGAGCGAGGAGAACGUGGGGGACACAGUGCUGAGGAUGUGCCGCUCUGUGCACCACACCGAGCAGAUGCUGCCCGCCGAGGCCAUGAAGGAGCUGUGCCUGCUGCUGCGAGACCGAGCCCUGCUGCUGCCAUCCCUGAAGCUGAUGCUGGAGCGGCCAGAGCCGGAGCUGCGCGCCCUGGUGCUCGAGCAGGUCGCCGCCAUCACACAGGUAGGGCCACAUGAGUGCACUGUCCUGCUGGGCUUCUUUUCCAGGACGUGGACCAGCCCUUUCCUUCUCAAAACAAUAGCUUUGCCCGGAGUGGUGGUGCACACCUGUCAUCCCAGCACCCAGGAGGGUGGAUGA